rnacentral:rRNA from 1 species
UACGUAGGGAGCAAGCGUUGUCCGGAAUCAUUGGGCGUAAAGCGCGCGUAGGUGGCUCUGUAAGUCCGUUGUGAAAGUCAAAGGCUCAACCUUUGAAAGCCGAUGGAUACUGCAGAGCUAGAGUACGGAAGAGGCGAGUGGAAUUCCUGGUGUAGCGGUGGAAUGCGCAGAUAUCAGGAGGAACACCAAUAGCGAAGGCAGCUCGCUGGGACGUUACUGACACUGAGGCGCGAAAGCGUGGGGAGCAAACAGG